rnacentral:rRNA from 1 species
AUGCAUACAGUAUGCCUACUAGCCGCCGAUGUGUGCGUGAGCCUGAGCGCGUGCAGUCUGCGUGCGCGCCGCCGACGCCGACGGCGACGCCGGCGAGUUGGGUGCCGGAGUCAUUGUCAGAAGAGGGGGGCAAGGACGGGAGUGAGCCAGGUAGGUCAUACCUGCUUAUGCCUCCAAGUGAGCGACGAACGGCGGCAUCCAACGCGGCGGCAGAUGCUGGGGACGGCAGCAGAAGCUUGGCUAGGCAGUAGGCACCAUGUCAGCGAGGAACGGCGGCGUCCAACACGGCGACGAAAGGGCAUGUUCGUCGUCGGUCCGGAGAGAGAGCCCUCCAGUAUCGGGCGCGGCGAGGACGACGCCACAUCGGGCGCGACAACGAGAAGGACGGCUUCAGGUGGUGGCGAGAGCGGCGGCGCGGCGCGGCAGAAACCCUAG